UUACCAUAGGAAACUGACAAUAAGAAAAUAAAAGGGCUGACACAGAAGGGUAAAGGAACUCUCCAUAAACCAGAGAGGAAAACUGCACCUCCUCUUUGGAUCCUGUCUGGAGUCACAGAU